AGAGUCAGCGAGGCGGUUGCGGAUUCAGCACGAAUCUGAGGAAAGUCCGGACUCCCGAAAACCCAAACUUGCUGGGUAACGCCCAGUGCGCGUGAGCGUGAGGAAAGUGCCACAGAAAAAUACCGCCGGAGAAAGGUGGGGAUCGGGCAUAAGAUGUCAAAAGCGUCGUAUGCCCCACUCGCCAUUCCGGUAAGGGUGCAAAGGUGCGGUAAGAGCGCACCAGCAGUAUCGAGAGGUACUGGCUCGGUAAACCCCGGUGGGGAGCAAGGUCGGACGAAACAAGGGUUGGGUUUUUUCCUGUUUCGGUAGUUCACUUCACUUUCAAUGAAGGUUGAGUGAGCGAGAACCGCUUGAGGUUGGAGGUAACUUCAAUCCCAGAUAGAUAACUGCCCUCACCUUGCAAAAUGCAGGGUGAGAACAGAAUCCGGCUUAUGUCUAACUCUUCUC
rnacentral:RNase_P_RNA from 1 species